AAAGGGGCCGCAUUCAGCUUUUACCCUGGACACCUCAUCUCUGAAAGGCUAAGCUUGUCUCUUUCCACUUCUGUUUAAAACCUUAUUAAAUGCAGCCUGGUGGUAACCUCAGGUACAACCAAUGGCAAACUUCUUCUCCUGCUAUCUCUCCACAGAGAACUUCUGAAGAGCCUCUGCAAGCCACCACCAUGUCCUCCUCUUUACCACCGAAGAAAGAGGGAAGCAGACAUCUGGAUGCAACUUAAUAGGUUUCCAAAUCUCCACAAGACCUCCGGGAAAAAUAAUGAUUUAUUCACACCUAUUCCUCCAAAUUUAAUAACAAUAAAAAAAACCAUCUGAAUCCUGAAAGGCAAGAUUCCAGGAACUCGUUCACGUUUCUGACCAGAGUUUCCAGUAAGAUGGGCCUCAGCCUACUGAAUGGAAAAUAUGUCAUCACUCUCUUCCCCCACGCUGGAGCGGACGGACGGAGUCUGGCUGAGAUGUGCUGCUUUCCAGGGCUGUCCAGACGCCAGAACGGUACUGAAACACAUAAGCCUAAGUCAGACGGCCCAAACCUCCCAGUGGAAAACAAGGAAUGAGAUUACUCCCACUCUUAACUCUCCCACAUCCAUCAGCCCUGAAUUCUCCCAGGGUCGUGAAGUGCAGACAGACAAACAGAUAAGCCUGGUGACCUCGCAUCAUUAUCAUCC
rnacentral:lncRNA from 1 species